rnacentral:sRNA from 1 species
UUAUAUUAGUGAUUUGUGUUCUAGAAUGGUUCGAUAAUAUUCGUAAUUUACUUCUAGAUCUACUAUUC